ensembl:lncRNA novel transcript
CGCAAAAAACAUACGUGCUCCGAAUUGCUGAACUGCAGCAAAUACUUUCUCCCCAGGAUGGGAUGGAGGCGAAGCAGAUGGAUCUGCCACACACCCUUAGCAUGCGCCAGUGAAAGGGAGAGCCGCGGGGAGAGGCCUAUCACCGGCUCGGGGGCAGUCCUUCCCAGACCCGAGGAUGACGUCAGCACAGCCGGGCAACGAUUGAUGGGGCCGCCGGCCAAUCAGCCCCUUCCAUCCACAGAUCCGUGCUGCGUGCCCUCUGGGAAGGGUGAAGUAAAACCCUCAGUCUGAGCCUGAGAAAUCCUGGCAUUUGUAGCCCAGGGCUGCGAGGAAGCCACAGGGCGGUCCGCAGGGCGGUAUCGAGGCUCUGGGACCCAAGGAGGGGCAGGACGUCGUGCACCCCUCGCGCACGCACCUGUCGGGACCGGCCGCCUCCUCCUGCCUACCUGUCCUGCCUCCUUCGCCCCGAAUUUCACCUUAAACCAUGAUGAACCAAGCCCAGUGGAUUCUGAAGCCCGGGACGAUGGCAGGUUCGAGAGAGAAUUGGGCAGCUGGGGGCGGGGCACAAUAUUAUUUAGGCGCCUCCACCCCACCUUCACAGAAAUACAUCUGGAAAGCAUGGGCUGUCCUAGGGCUGGGGACUGGGGGUUACGGUCUCAUCGAUGACUCAGAGGGAGAGAAAACCCCCUGGGUCCCAAGCCAAAAAGAAUAAAAUUCUCCAGAAUAGCCAACAAA